UGCAGUCGAACGGCAGCACGGGAGCUUGCUCCUGGUGGCGAGUGGCGAACGGGUGAGUAAUAUAUCGGAACGUACCCUAGAGUGGGGGAUAACGCAGCGAAAGUUGCGCUAAUACCGCAUACGAUCUACGGAUGAAAGUGGGGGAUCGCAAGACCUCAUGCUCAUGGAGCGGCCGAUAUCUGAUUAGCUAGUUGGUAGGGUAAAAGCCUACCAAGGCUUCGAUCAGUAGCUGGUCUGAGAGGACGACCAGCCACACUGGAACUGAGACACGGUCCAGACUCCUACGGGAGGCAGCAGUGGGGAAUUUUGGACAAUGGGCGCAAGCCUGAUCCAGCAAUGCCGCGUGAGUGAAGAAGGCCUUCGGGUUGUAAAGCUCUUUUGUCAGGGAAGAAACGGUGGACUCUAAUACAGAUCACUAAUGACGGUACCUGAAGAAUAAGCACCGGCUAACUACGUGCCAGCAGCCGCGGUAAUACGUAGGGUGCAAGCGUUAAUCGGAAUUACUGGGCGUAAAGCGUGCGCAGGCGGUUUGGUAAGACAGAUGUGAAAUCCCUGGGCUCAACCUAGGAAUUGCAUUUGUGACUGCCCGACUAGAGUGUGUCAGAGGGGGGUAGAAUUCCACGUGUAGCAGUGAAAUGCGUAGAGAUGUGGAGGAAUACCGAUGGCGAAGGCAGCCCCCUGGGAUAACACUGACGCUCAUGCACGAAAGCGUGGGGAGCAAACAGGAUUAGAUACCCUGGUAGUCCACGCCCUAAACGAUGUCUACUAGUUGUUGGGUCUUAAUUGACUUAGUAACGCAGCUAACGCGUGA
rnacentral:rRNA from 1 species